rnacentral:other from 1 species
UUUCCCCUGCGGUGCGCGCCAAGGCCAUAUAUUCCUUGAACCAAUACGCAUGGCAUUGGCUGCUGACCGUAACGUCGUCGUUGUGAUUGCCCCUGGCCUCGUGCCAAUCGGUGAACCUGAAACGGCAGGGAGGCAGCCACUCUGAACUUCGGUUCAGGAUGCCGGCCAAACGGCACCAGCGGGGGGAUU